ensembl:lncRNA
CUCUCCCUUGUUCUCUUAAUCCAUUUUUCCCUCGUUCUCUCUAUCCAUUUCUCCCCUGUACGCCUGUUUAGUGUGGCUUUUAACGCUAACGAUAUUGACUGUAGGUCUGAGAGUGUGUGUGUGUGAGUGUGUGCUUCCGUAUUUCUGUGGUUGAAUGUGUGUGAGAGCGUCUGUAACUGUGUGUGUGUGUGUGUGUGUGUGUGUGUGUGUGUGUGUGUGUGUGUGUGACUCUCUCUCUCUCUUUCUCUCUCUGAGUGGUGAUUUAUUAAUGCAGGUCGAGCUGCCUGCAGCUAUCCCCCUGCAGACUGCAAUGGACCCUCAGCAGGACAUCCAGGCAACUUGACACAACUGGGGGAAGCAUUGGAGUCAACAUGGACCAGCAUCCCUGUGGAAAGCUUGACACGUUGUAGAGUCUGUGUCCCAACAAAUUGAAGCUGUUCUGAGGGGAAAAGGGGGUGCAACUCAAUAAUAGGAAGGCGGUCCUAAUAUUUUGUACAAUCAGUGUAGAGCUACAACAGGUGUUGUAUUCGGCUCAUGUGACAAAUACAUUUUGAUUUGCUUUGAUUUGAGCUACAGUUCCUACCUCUGCCCCUACCAAUAAUGGCACCACCACUGCUUCAUUUCUGCCAGGAUGGUCCUCAUCCAGAGGUCAAAGUCAGAGGUGGGGAGACUUCAGGUCUUGCUUCAUCCUCAUUACCUCCCUGAUUUCAUCCUUGGCCUAUCUCAACAUUUCAUAGGUGAAGUACCCUCCACCUUUUCCAGCAGCCCUUUCACCUGCUCGUGGUUGUUGAAGACAUGAUAUACGUUCCCACACCUCCCUUUUGGGGCCAUUUUCAUGAACUCCUUUAUCAGCAUGCCCUCCAGAUCUUCCUCACGUUUGAACAGAACCAACCCAUAUAGUUCUGCAACCCAUAGAAGCAAGGCCGGUGUCACAGAAACAGGGUGUAUCUACAACCACAGGAUCCCCCCCAGUCAGGUUCCCCACCCUUUGACAUGAAUUUGGA